rnacentral:rRNA from 1 species
GUCCCGCAACGAGCGCAACCCUCGUCCUAUGUUGCCAGCACGUAAUGGUGGGAACUCAUGGGAUACUGCCGGGGUCAACUCGGAGGAAGGUGGGGAUGACGUCAAAUCAUCAUGCCCCUUAUGUCUUGGGCUUCACGCAUGCUACAGUGGCCGGUACAGAGGGCUGCAAUACCGCAAGGUGGAGCGAAUCCCAAAAAGCCGGUCUCAGUUCGGAUUGAGGUCUGCAACUCGACCUCAUGAAGUCGGAGUCGCUAGUAAUCGUAGAUCAGCAACGCUACGGUGAAUACGUUCCCGGGCCUU